rnacentral:rRNA from 1 species
UACGGGGGGGGGCAAGCGUUGUUCGGAAUUACUGGGCGUAAAGGGCUCGUAGGCGGCCAACUAAGUCCGACGUGAAAUCCCCAGGCUUAACCUGGGAACUGCGUCGGAUACUGGAUGGCUUGAAUUCGGGAGAGGGAUGCAGAAUUCCAGGUGUAGCGGUGAAAUGCGUAGAUAUCUGGAGGAAUACCGGUGGCGAAGGCGGCAUCCCGGACCGACAUUGACGCUGAGGAGCGAAAGCCAGGGGAGCAAACGGG